rnacentral:miRNA from 1 species
CAGAUCCUGGGAGGGGCUGCCCCUGGUGCUCACCCAGAACCAGAGGUUCUGAGCCACACCCUUCCCACAG